CUGAUCUCAAAUCAGGUAGGACUACCCGCUGAACUUAAGCAUAUCAAUAAGCGGAGGAAAAGAAACUAACAAGGAUUCCCCUAGUAACUGCGAGUGAAGCGGGAAGAGCUCAAAUUUAAAAUCUGGCAUGCCUCUGGCUGUCCGAGUUGUAGUCUGGAGAAGCGUUUUCCGUGUUGGACCGUGUACAAGUCUCUUGGAACAGGGCGUCAUAGAGGGUGAGAAUCCCGUCUUUGACACGGACUACCAAUGCUUUGUGAUGCGCUCUCAAAGAGUCGAGUUGUUUGGGAAUGCAGCUCAAAAUGGGUGGUAAAUUCCAUCUAAAGCUAAAUAUAGGCGAGAGACCGAUAGCGAACAAGUACCGUGAGGGAAAGAUGAAAAG
rnacentral:rRNA from 1 species